GUGGGUAGCGGAGAAAUUCCAAUCGAACCUGGAGAUAGCUGGUUCUCCCCGAAAUAGCUUUAGGGCUAGCCUUAAGUGUAAGAGUCUUGGAGGUAGAGCACUGAUUGGACUAGGGGUCCUCAUCGGAUUACCGAAUUCAGUCAAACUCCGAAUGCCAAUGACUUAUCCUUAGGAGUCAGACUGCGAGUGAUAAGAUCCGUAGUCAAAAGGGAAACAGCCCAGACCGCCAGCUAAGGUCCCAAAGUGUGUAUUAAGUGGAAAAGGAUGUGGAGUUGCUUAGACAACUAG
rnacentral:rRNA from 1 species